rnacentral:rRNA from 1 species
GAUCCUGGCUCAGGAUGAACGCUGGCGGCGUGCCUAACACAUGCAAGUCGAGCGGAGAUAAGUGAAGCCUAGCGAUUCUUAUCUUAGCGGCGGAUGGGUGAGUAACACGUGGGUAACCUGCCCUGCACUGGGGAAUAACAGCUGGAAACGGCUGUUAAUGCCGCAUAUGCGCACGGAGCCGCAUGGCUUUGGGCGGAAAGAUUUAUCGGUGCAGGAUGGGCCCGCGCCGGAUUAACUAGUUGGCGGGGUAACGGCCCACCAAGGUGAUGAUCCGUAGCCGACCUGAGAGGGUGACCGGCCACAUUGGGACUGAGACACGGCCCAAACUCCUACGGGAGGCAGCAGUGGGGGAUAUUGCACAAUGGGGGAAACCCUGAUGCAGCGACGCCGCGUGAAGGAUGAAGUAUUUCGGUAUGUAAACUUCUAUCAGCGGGGAAGAAGAUGACGGUACCCGACUAAGAAGCCCCGGCUAACUACGUGCCAGCCGCGGC